rnacentral:rRNA from 1 species
GACGAACGCUGGCGGCGUGCUUAACACAUGCAAGUCGAACGGAAAGGCCGUGCUUUUGUGGUGUGCUCGAGUGGCGAACGGGUGAGUAACACGUGAGUAACCGGCCCUAGUCUUUGGGAUAACUUCAGGAAACUGGGGCUAAUACCGGACAGGAGCUGCUGCUGCAUGGUGGGGGGUGGAAAGUUUCGGCGGGUGGGGAUGGACUCGCGGCUUAUAAGCUUGUUGGUAGGGUAGUGGCUUACCAAGGAUUUGACGGGUAGCCGGCCUGGGAGUGUGACCGGGUCCAUGGGAGCAGGGAUACGGCCCAGACUCCAACGGGAGGCAGCGGUGGGAACGAUUGCAAACUGUGCGGACGCGGGACGCAGCACCGCCGCGUGCGGAAUGCCGCCAGUCGGGUUGUAAACCGCUUACGCCUGUACCGAAGCGUGAGGAACGGUACUGGCGAAUGAAGCACCGGCUACCUACGU